GGCAUCUGAAUCUGCCUUUAGCACUGGGAGGCGUAUUCUCGAUCCAUAUCGAAGUUCUUUACUUCCCACAACAGUUGAGGCAUUGAUUUGUGCUCAAAAUUGGUUGAAGACGCCGAUUGAUCUUGAUACUUCUUCCUUGGGACCAGAAGAGGAAGUUAGUUCAGAAUUUUUGGACUCUCUCUCUAAAUCCAUGUUCGUAAACAUAACAGAUGAUGAUGUUGAGGACUAAGGAGUACCAAGUCAGCAACCCUGGAAAGUCUGAAGCUAUCAGUUGAUUUUGUGGAUGCAUAGCUGGAAAGUGUCGAU